rnacentral:rRNA from 1 species
UACAGAGGCCUCGAGCGUUAGGCGGAAUCACUGGGCUUAAAGCGUGUGUAGGCGGCCUUCUAAGUACCUUGUGAAAUCCCACGGCUUACCCGUGGAACGGCUGGGUAUACUGGUUGUCUUGAGCCACUUAGGGGCUACCGGAACAAAUGGUGGAGCGGUGAAAUGCGUAGAUAUCAUUUGGAACGCCAAUGGUGAAAACAGGUAGCUGGGAGUGUGCUGACGCUGAGACACGAAAGCCAGGGGAGCGAACGGG